AUGGAAGAGCUCCAGCGCAAGAAAGAACAAGCUGUUAAACAGGUUGAAGGGAUGCGCCAAACAAACGGUAGCGGUGCAUUUGUAUUUGGCUCUACCAGUAGUAGUGCCAUUGUGUUAACUGGUUUCAGCUACGAGGAGAUUAAAGAAGUGACAAACAACUUUGAUGCCUCCAAAAAGAUAGGGGAAGGCGGGUGUGGAAGCGUCUACAAAGGAUUUCUCCGUCAUACCACUGUAGCCAUCAAGAUAUUAAACAAUGAAGGCGCAAGAGGAGAUCAAGAGUUCAAUGAUGAGGUAACUCUUAUUGUUCCUUUCCUUCAAACAUACCGUCAUAACAUCAUAUUAUUAAGAGUAACACAUGCUUCUAGAAACACUAGUAAAAUGGUGCAUCUAAAUAUGUGA
rnacentral:rRNA from 1 species